rnacentral:sRNA from 1 species
UUGUGAAACCCUAAUACUCAAAACGAAACAGUAUUGGGACGGAUUAAGAACGGCACUCGACCCAUGUGGUCGAGUGAUUGGUCGAGUGAUAAGCUGGAGUCUUCUUCUCUUCCUUGUGCUCGAAUGUCUGGUUGAGUGCGGAAUGGAGAAGACUCUGUAGCUGGCAGUCGAGUAUGAAGUCGAGUGAUGGAGAUGGUGGUACUUGGCUUGUUGGUAGAGUGAUCGGUCGAGUGUGUGAUGAUGGAGAGACUCGACCAGGGGGUCGAGUGGUGUGAUCGAGUGAUGGUCAGGUGGUGGAGAUGAUGAUACU